rnacentral:lncRNA from 1 species
GUUGAAUUCAGAGAGCCAUCCCUGAUACCAAAAAAGAAGUCCUGUAGUGAAGUUAGACCACCUACUUUGCCUUUGAGUUAGUGACUGCGUAUCUCUAAGCUUCCAUUUAUUCCUCGUCAAACAAAGACUGAACUACUUACUACCUUGCAGGGUUGUUGUGAGGCAAGCGCUUUCCAAAGCUCUGUCUACACAUGUGAGCUUUUGCUAUUUGAAUGUGAACCUUGGCCCCCUAAACGCGUGACCCAGGAACCGGAGCCGGGCUGCUGAUGCAUGUGCGAAUCCACGUACCCAAGCCAGGCCUCCCAGCUCGGUUCUUUCUCCUCUGAACUUCCCGUGCUGAUGGGGUCCACAGCAACCUCUGCCCUUUGACAAAGACACGCUUUACCAGAUUCUCAGUGGGACCCCUCAGGCUUCUAGCAUGUCGUCUCCGGCAUUUCGGUGAUCCCUGGCCCUUCCCAGACACACUCCACUCUUCAUAGUCCCUGCUGAGCCCCCAGCUCUCACCCUGGAGCCCCAGCCACCUCCUCGCAAAGGCUGCUCAGGCUAGAGGACACUCUGAAAGGACUUAGAAUGAGGAGACUCGUACUUGCGUCUGUUCUCUGAGAGUCCUCAGUGAUGGGGCUUGAACUCAAGAUUAGAAAGAGGAUUGUUCACCAAACUGCCAAUUUCUAUUAUGGAGAGCCUCCUUUUAGGCGCCGUAAGUAUAUAAUAAAUUCAUCGUGGAACUUUCAAAGC